rnacentral:rRNA from 1 species
AUUUCCGUUGAUCCUGCGGAGGGUCGCUGCUAUUAGGAUUCGAUUAAGCCAUGCAAGUCUAGGGGGUGUUUACAUCCUCGGCGAAAUGCUCAGUAACACGUCGAUAAUCUGCCCUUUGGUUCGGGAUCAUCUUGGGAAACUGAGGAUAAUACCGAAUAGGAGAUAAAUUCUGGAAUGAGUUAUCUUUAAAAGAUUACGCCAAAGGAUGAGUCGGCGGCAGAUUAGGUUGUUGGUGAGGUAAUGGCUCACCAAGCCUACGAUCUGUACGGGCCGUGAGAGCGGUAGCCCGGAGAAGGACACUGAGAUACUGGUCCUAGCCCUACGGGGUGCAGCAGGCGCGAAACCUUUACAAUGCACGAAAGUGUGAUAAGGGAAUCCUAAGUGCUUAUACUAAGUAUAGGCUUUUGUUAAGGGUAAAUACCUUGGCGAAUAAGCGGUGGGCAAGACUGGUGCCAGCAGCCGCGGUAACACCAGCGCCGCAAGUGGGGACCUCUUUUAUUGGGCCUAAAGCGUCCGUAGCUGGUUUGGUAAAUCUCUUGUGAAAUCGUUAAGCUCAACUUAACGGCAUGCAGGAGACACUGCCUAACUUGAGACUGGGAGAAGUAUAGAGUAUUCCGGGGGAACCGGUAAAAUGGGAUAAUCCUCGGAGGACUACCUGUGGCGAAGGCGCUAUACUAGAACGGAUCUGACAGUGAGGGACGAAGGCUAGGGGAGCAAACCGGAUUAGAUACCCGAGUAGUCCUAGCAGUAAACGCUGCGAGCUAGGCGUUGCGUAUUCUACAGGAAUAUGCAGUGUCGUAACGAAGGUGUUAAGCUCGCCGCCUGGGAAGUAUGGUCGCAAGACUGAAACUUAAAGGAAUUGGCGGGGGAGCACCACAAGGGGUGCGGCGUGCGGUUUAAUCUAACUCAACGCAGAGAAUCUCACCAGAGGCGACGGCAGAAUGAAGGUCAGUCUGAAGGGCUUACCCGACGAGCCGAGAGGUGGUGCAUGGCCGCCGUCAGCUCGUGCUGUAAGGUGUCCUGUUAAGUCAGGUAACGAGCGAGACCUGUACCUACAAUUGCUAGCGACUAGUUUACUAGGAUCGAGCACAAUGUAGGGACUGCCUU